rnacentral:tRNA from 1 species
AGUAAAGUCAGCUAAAAAAGCUUUCGGGCCCAUACCCCGAACAUGACGGAUAAAUACCAUCCUUUGCUA